UGUUCUCCAGAAAAGUAUGAUCACCUUUCUUAGGGAGAAAACCAAAGGGCAUUGUUUAGAAAGGUACCAAAAAAGACCUAGCUUUGGGUGAUUUUUGUCAGUUCACCUAAACUCUGAUCUUGGUUUCCAUCCAGUUCUCAAUGAAAGAGACAACUAAACCAAAGAAGUCUGAUCAACGAUAACUUUAUCAGAAAAGAAAAGUACACUUACUCAAUAUCCACAAUUUGCCACACUCUUUCAUAUAUUAUCUUAGUUAAUCCUCACCAUAGCCAUGUGAGAUGAAUAUUAUUUCAUAAAUGAUGAUAUUUAAGUCCCUUGGAUGGCAGAGACCACAUCUGGUUCACGUCUGCAUUCUCAGCACCAAGGAUGGGGCCUAGGACACAGUAAGGGCCUGCCACAUGCUUAAGAAUGAAUAUAUGACUAAAGAAAAAGAAAUGAAAUUUGGGAAAAAAAAGCAAUCCAAAUUUUGCUCUAGGCUCCUCACUGGAACCACUACCUGGGACACACCUACACAGUGCAAAUACUCUACUCAAGCUUCUGAGGUCUGUUUCAAAGCUUCUGAAGUUUGUUUCAUCUUUCCAAUGUGUAUGCCUCAAAGAUAGCAUCUACAUUUGGCUACACACCCAGCAGGGAAUAGCCUGUUUCUGCUUUACUUCUUUUUCCCCUACUCAGCACCACACCUUGCACAGGCGGGUGUUUAAUGAACUGAGUGUUUAAUGAACAUGGUGAUGGUCAUGAUGACACCCUUAGUCAUCAUGGGAGUAAACAACACAAGAUGCCCACAGUCAACAGAACUGGUCUUUGAGUUGAGUUCGUCCUGUCGUGAGCCUCAUUUUCCUCUCUUGUACAAUGGGAAUAACAGACCUUACCCACAAGAUUGUUUUUUUCAUUUAACAAAUGCUGACCAUUAACCAUGUGCAAAGCACUGUGCUAGGUGGUGGGGACACAGUGAUGAAUGUGACCAUCACAUCUUACUUCAUGGACCUCACAGUCUCAGGGGAUGCUGAGCGGUUUUCCAAACCUACCAGGACUAUACAAUUAUCAAGUACCUGCUCCUUCUCCUGUCUCCCAACUUCAUUACUGCCAUCACCAUCCAACCAGCUGCCCAAGCUAUAAACUGGGGAAUCAUCCUCCACUCCCCUCUCUCCUUCGUCCUGCCCACUCCCACAAUUACAACAAAUCACCAAGUCUCUUUUGAUUCUCCUUCAGAAAAGUCUCAGACACGUAUUAUUUCUCUUCCAGUUUCCCAUGCUUCUACACUAGGCCCUUUGUUCUCACCUGAAGAACUGCAAGUCUCCUUGUAAUAAUGAUAAUGGCAAGCAUUUAUCGGUCACUUACCAUAUGGCAGGCAUUGUCCUAGGAGCUUUGCAUGCAUAACAUAUUUUCAUCCAAUCAGGCAGAUACUAGUACCCUGAUUUGUAGCGGAGGAAUCUGAGGUACAGAGUAACCUGCCCCAGGUACCCAGCAAGGAAAUGAUGAAGCUGCAGCUCAAACCCAGGUCUGAAAGGCACUAUCCUUGCCCCUGAUGGGAUUCUUGCCUCCAGUCCCUUCCUGGUCAGUCUACACUUCUUCCUUUAAGCUGCUGCUAGAGUGCUCUUUCAAAAUUCCAAACAGAUAUGAUGACUCUCUGCUUUAAAAGACAGCCAAGGGCUGAGCACAGUGGCUGUAAUCCCAACACUUUGGGAGGCUAAUACGGGAGAAUCGCUCGAUGCCAGGAGUUUGAGACCAGCCUGGGCAACACAGCAAGACCUUGUCCCUACAAAAAAAAAUGUUUUGGAUUAGCUAGGCAUGUGCCUGAAGUCCUAGCUACUCAGGAGGCUGAAGUGAGAGGAUCAUUUGAGCCCAGGAGUGCCAGGCUGCAGUGAGCUAUAUAUAACUGCACCACUGCACUUUGGCCUGGAUGUCAGAGCGAGACCCCGUUGCUUAAAGUGAAUGAAUAAAUAAAAAUAAAGGACAGCUAAGGGCUCCUCACCACUUCCAGGUCAAGGUCCAAAGACUACAGGCCACUCUCAGUGUUAUCUCCUGUCCCACCCACAGACUCCAGAGGCGACACUGUCACUGCCUCCCAAACACACCCAACUCCCUGCUGACCCACUUCACGUUCUCCUUCCUCUGCCAAGUCUUCUUUAUCCUUUCCCCCCAAACAGGUGCCGCCUCCUCUGCAGCCUCAACCCAUGUACACACUCAUGUUUCUGCACUGUUAUAAUCAUUUCCUGCUCUCUCACACGCACAUACACUCCCACCCCACACUUCCAAUUCUGAGUUCCUGAAGGGCUGACACAGUGUAUUUUCAUCUCUGACUCUCAAGGUCCCAGCAUAGUGGCAGGUGAAUAAGUAGACUAACUGAAUGGUAAUGUGGUAGUGUUCACCUCCCCACACUAAGACCUUCCUCCUAGAGGAUGCUAAAAAGAAGGGUAGGUUACAGUAGCUCCCAUCCUCUCAAGCAAACUCAGGAAGACAGCCUGCUUUCAGCAAGUCUGACAACUGAGACUGGUCCUCCACAGUUGGCUGGCGAGCUCUCCCGCAGCCCCUUGAAAGUCAAUUCGAUCACCAAAACUGCAGAAACGGCUGGGUGCUAUGGCUCAUGCCCGUAAUCCCAGCACUCUGGGAGGCCGAGGCAGGCAGAUCAUGAGGUUAGGUGUUCAAGACCAGCCUGACCAACAUGGUGAAACCCCAUCUCUACUAAAAAUACAAAAAUUAGCCAGGCAUGGUGGCGUGCACCUGUAAUCCCAGCUACUCAGGAGGCUGACGCAGGAGAAUCAUUUGAACCCGGAAGGCAGAGGUUGCAGUGAGCUGAGAUCGCGCCACUGCACUCCAGCCUGGGCAACAGAGCGAGACUCCGUCUCAAAAACAAACAAACAAACAAACAAACAAACAAACAAAAAAAGUCCGGAAACUAAGCUAGCUCCAGACCAAAAGAUCAGAGGAAAAUGGUAAACUGACACCCUCCUCCUGCAUUCCAAAAUGCAGAAAGCUAAAAACACUGAUUCUGAUGACCAUAAACAGAGGAUCUGGACUGAGGGAGAGUCAUCAGAGGAAAAAGCUAGAGACAGCAAAAUAUAACCCUGUUCCCAUCUCCACAACUAAGCUGGAGUCCAGGCCACAAAUGGACCACUGCAGCUGCCUCCUCACUGUUCUCCCUGCUCCCACCCUCAUCCCCCACCCACUCUCCAAAGAGCAGCCAGAUGAUGUUUUUAAAACUCUGUCAAUAAGGACACGUUCCAACAAAAUACUCUCCAAAAGCUUUCCAUCCACUUGGAAUAAAAUUCAAACUCUUCACCAACAAGUUCAAAGUCCAAGCCCCGCCCCCUUUAUUCCAUACCACUCUCCCUCCAAGCACUACAUUCUGGACACAGGGGUCUCUCUCUUCGGUUUCUUACAACCUGCCAACCUCCGAGCCUUUUCCCAUGCUGCUUUCCACGCCCAGAAGGCUCCUCCCUUUUUUUUUUUUUACAGAGCUGGUUCCUUCUCCAGACUCAGUUCAAACUUUACCUUUUCAAAGACGCCUUCUCUGACCAUUCUGUCUAAAGUGGCAUCCCUCCCACUCCACCACUCCCUAUGAGACCAUCUUUUUGUGUGUUUAGUACUUAUCACCCCCGGACAAUAUUUUCUUCAUUUAUUUUCCUGUUUCUGUCUUCUCUCCCAUUAGGGUUGAGGCCGUGUUUUGUUCACCCCUAUGAAUACAGCGCAUGCAGCAGGCACUAAAAAGAAUUUCCAGAAUAUCUGUUGACUAUCAGCAGAGAAGCAUCCUCCAGAUAGGCUAUUUUGUUCUCCUAUUAGAAUGGAGAAAACAUCGAUUUAGCCCCUACUAUGUGCUGAGCACUGUAAAUCCAUGAUUUUCCUUUCAGAAAGGUAAAUGAGCUCAAGGUCACACUGCUAGUCACUAGCAGACUUCUGAGUGAAUUACCUCAAUCCUAAACCCCUCUCAAGGGGAAGGGAUGUCGUUCUGUGAUUCACUCUCACAUGGCCACAACAAGAAAAAGCUAACAUUUCUAAACUGCUUUACAGUUUUAAAGCAUUUUCACAUUCAUCUCACUUAAGAAAAACACAAAGCACUUAGAAUGCCCAGAAAGCCAUACGACAACAGGAAGUAAAGUAAGCAGUGCCUCAAGAUUCAAUACUGGGGCCCUGAAUCCUAGUAGUGGGGACUGGGGAGCAGUCGGGAGUCUCUAUUUCUGGUUCAGACGGAUGGGGAAGCGGUGAGUCAUGGGGUGAAGGCUUGCGCCACGGGAAACUUUGGUAAGGUCAAGCUAUGAGGCAACAAAAAGUGAAUCACAACGCUGGAAAACACCUUAGGCCUCAACAGAGGCCGAACUCUGGCUGAUGGAUGGGGAAACUGAGGCCUCAAAGGGAAAGCAACUUGCUCAAGUUCACUCAGCAAGUGAAUAGAGCAGGAAUCAGGGGGUCUCAUCUCCCCCAGUCCCCUUUUCUGUCCAGCAAGGAGGCUUUUCAACGAGAAUUCUGAGUUAAGAGGACGGGGGAGAGGCCAAGGGCAGCUCACAGAUUCCACCGAGGAGUCGGGAGAGGGCACAGAAGCAAGAGGAACCUAAUACUCUUCCUCAUUGGCCUUCCUGUCUCCAUCUUUAUUCCUUCCAGCUCAUUCUCUACAUGACACUGUGAAUGCCAAACUGUCUGGAGGCUGCCAUGAGCGGCCAAUUUGUGAUCUCUGCUUUACCUGAAUUAUUUCCGUGAAUUGUGACAUCAACCUCGCCAGAUAAGAAAGAAGACUGAAGUUCAGAGAGGUGAAGGGACUGGCUCAGGGGCUACCCCUAUGGUUGCGGGAGCUAAGAUUCCAGCCCAGCAGCGUGAUCCAGAGCCCAUCUGAGCUACCCAGAUCUUCCUGCUGUUAAACCUGUCCUGGGGCAGCUCUGGCCUGAUGGGCUACCUGAGGAACCCACAGGAAAUCAAGGGAGGUGCCUGCAAAGUUGCCGUGGGGGUCACAGCCUGCCCUUUGGAAGGGGCUGUUUCUGGGCUGCUGUGACUUCCUGCCAUUAUUUCCUCUCUGUUCUCUCUCUGGAAUGAAUAAAGUACUUCUGAAAAAACAUCAACCCAGUUGAUACGGAAAUGCUGGUCCCUACAAUAGAAUGCUCUGUGGUCAUUAAAAAGAUUAAAAAGGUCAA